AAAUACAGUACGAUUUGUAGUAGCAUCAUCAUCAAUAUCUACAACAAAUCUGUUUAUGGGUCCCCAAACUCCCCUCACGAGGCACUACCCACACUUGAACCUCCCAAUGAUGGAUGACCACCAUAAUAAGACUCACUUUAUAUUUUUUUCAGCUUCAUUUCUUUGUCUUUCCUCCUUGGAGUCCAUAUUUUUCUUCAUAUAUGAAGCAAACUCUUCAUUCACUUCACUUGGUACUUUCUUGCAAGCCUCAACGUUACUAUGAUUACCUACAAGAUGAUUUUUCAACCUUGUAAUCCCUCCUUUACAAAUUUUCUUACAAAAAUUGCAUUCCACGUAUAAAUGAGCUUUAUUAACUCUCGGAGCUGCAGUGCCAUAUUUUCAAGCUGGAUCUUU
rnacentral:lncRNA from 1 species